rnacentral:rRNA from 1 species
UACAGAGGGUGCAAGCGUUAAUCGGAAUUACUGGGCGUAAAGCGUGCGCAGGCGGCUUCUCAAGUCAGGGGUGAAAGCCCAGAGCUCAACUCUGGAAUUGCCUUUGAGACUGAGUGGCUUGAGUACGAGAGAGGUGAGUGGAAUUCCCAGUGUAGAGGUGAAAUUCGUAGAUAUUGGGAAGAACACCGGUGGCGAAGGCGGCUCACUGGCUCCGUAACGUGACGCUCAUGCACGACAGCGUGGGGGAUCAAACAGG